rnacentral:lncRNA from 1 species
GGACUGUGGUGGGCGCGCUACAGAGGGUAGGGGGAUUUGCCCUCCAGGAGCUCCGAUGCCCAGAAAGACCGCACAAACGAAAGUGAGUUUUAGCCUUUCCCUUCCAAUUUCCUUCUUUUGACUUUUACUUUCUCUCUUCUCCCUCUUGAACUCCUUCCAACCAAAUUGGCAGGCUUGGAAUCUGUCAUUGGCCGAAGGGAAGCACAACUCCAAAGCAGUUUGGGGGCGAGUUGAGAGGGAGGGCCUGUCUCUCUCGGGCCCGGGUUCUUUCCUUCCCACGAAGGUCGGAGUUCAGGAACUCGCUGUAUUUUCUAAGCGCUCACGAAGAUGCCGUUUCAAGUUCAUUUCGCUGGCAGGAGUUUAAAGCGGGUGGAGAUCAGGAAGGAGAGAGGGAGAGGAAUUGUGUGUGUGGAUUGUGGGUGAUGUAUUGACUUGUUUCAAUAAGGAUAUUCUAUUAGCAAUAUCACCGAUGUAUCGCUACGGCGUCUGGGUCGCGCACUCCUUCCUUUCUGAUCCUAUGGAAUGGGAUGGGGAGGGCACUUAAACAUUUUAAAAAUACAAGCAAUA